rnacentral:rRNA from 1 species
UAGGGAAUCUUCCGCAAUGGACGCAAGUCUGACGGAGCAACGCCGCGUGAGUGAAGAAGGAUUUCGGUUCGUAAAACUCUGUUGUUAGAGAAGAACAGCGCAUAGAGUAACUGUUAUGCGUGUGACGGUAUCUAACCAGAAAGCCACGGCUAACUACGUGCCAGCAGCCGCGGUAAUACGUAGGUGGCAAGCGUUGUCCGGAUUUAUUGGGCGUAAAGCGAGCGCAGGCGGUCAAUUAAGUCUGAUGUGAAAGCCCCCGGCUCAACCGGGGAGGGUCAUUAGAAACUGGAUGACUUGAGUGCAGAAGCGGAGAGUGGAAUUCCAUGUGUAGCGGUGAAAUGCGUAGAUAUGUGGAGGAACACCAGUGGCGAAGGCGACUCUCUGGUCUGUAACUGACGCUGAGGCUCGAAAGCGUGGGUAGCAAACAGG